ensembl:misc_RNA Metazoa_SRP Metazoan signal recognition particle RNA
GCCGGGCUUGGUGGCGGGUGCCUGUAAUCCAAGCUACUGAGGAGGCUGAGGCAGGAGAAUCGCUUGAACCCAGGAGGCAGAGGAUGCAGUGAGAUCACACCACUGCACUCCAGCCUGGGCUACAUAGUGAGACUCUGUCUCAA